AGCAGCCGCGGUAAUUCCAGCUCCAAUAGCGUAUAUUAAAGUUGUUGCAGUUAAAAAGCUCGUAGUUGAAUUUCGGGAUCAAUGUUUCGGUCACGCCCUUGGUAUGUACUGAUAUUAUUGGUUUCUCACCUUCUAAAGAACCGUAAUGCCAUUAAUUUGGUGUCACGGGGAAUUAGGACUGUUACCUUGAAAAAAUUAGAGUGUUUAAAGCAGGCUCACGCUUGAAUACAUUAGCAUGGAAUAAUGAAAUAGGACAUCCGACCCUAUUUUGUUGGUUUCUAGGAUCGAUGUAAUGAUUAAUAGGGAUAGUUGGGGGCAUCAGUAUUCAAUUGUCAGAGGUGAAAUUCUUGGAUUUAUUGAAGACUAACUACUGCGAAAGCAUUUGCCAAGGAUGUUUUCAUUAAUCUAGAACGAAAGUUAGGGGAUCGAAGACGAUCAGAUACCGUCGUAGUCUUAACCAUAAACUAUGCCGACUAGGGAUCGGAUGAUGUUAAUUUUUUAAUGACUCA
rnacentral:rRNA from 1 species